UACGGGGGGGGGUAAGCGUUGUUCGGAAUUACUGGGCGUAAAGGGCUCGUAGGCGGCCAACUAAGUCAGACGUGAAAUCCCUCAGCUUAACUGGGGGAACUGGCGUCUGAUACUGGAUGGCUUGGAUUCGGGGAGAGGAAUGCGGAAUUCCAGGUGUAGCGGUGAAAUGCGUAGAUAUCUGGAGGAACACCGGUGGCGAAGGCGGCAUUCUGGACCGAUAUUGACGCUGAGGAGCGAAAGCCAGGGGAGCAAACGGG
rnacentral:rRNA from 1 species